rnacentral:lncRNA from 1 species
GUAGCCCAAUCAACUUUCCCACUCCAAGAUCGUGUAGCCAUAGUUACCGGCUCUUCUCGCGGAAUCGGCAAAGCAAUUGCACUUCAUUUGGCCUCACUUGGUGCUAAACUCGUCAUCAACUAUUCCUCCAACUCCUCUCAAGCCGAUGACGUCGUAUCCCAGAUCAAUUCCACCUCCGAUUCCCCACGCGCCAUUGCCGUCAAAGCCAAUAUCUCCGAUCCAGAUCAAGUAAAAUCCCUCUUCGACGCAGCAGAAUCGGCUUUUAAAUCACCGGUCAACAUCCUGGUCAACUCCGCCGGGGUACUCGACGGAAAAUACCCGUCAAUCCUAAACACAACCCUAGAGGAUUUCGACAGGACUUUUGAUGUGAACGCUCGUGGAGCUUUUGUGUGCUGCCAAGAAGGUGCUAAGAGAAUCAAACACGGCGGGGGAGGGAGAAUUAUAUGCCUAUCGACGUCGUUAGCAGCGGCGUUUAGACCUGGAUACGGAGCGUAUAUCGCUUCAAAAGCGGCCGUGGAAGCAAUGGUGAAGAUAUUGGCGAAGGAACUGAAAGGGACAGGAAUAACGGUGAAUUCUGUGGCGCCGGGACCCAUAGCGACGGAAUUGUUUUACGAAGGGAAAACAGAGGCGAUGAUAAAGAGGGUGAUUGAUGAUUGUCCACAUGGGAGACUUGGCCUGCCGGAGGAUAUUGCGCCGGUGGUUGGGUUUUUGGCCGGCGACGCUUCUGAAUGGGUUAAUGGACAGAUUAUUCGUGUCAAUGGCGGCUUCAUCUAAUUAUUUUUUUUGCCGAGUUUUGUUUUACCUGCAGUUUCGAUUGUAACAUCUAUUUGAUUUUGUUUCGUUUUCCCUUAUUACAUAUAAUAUAAUAUAAAAUAAUAAGUAGUAUACAUAUUUGUACGAUCCAUGGUUAUUUUGUGAUAUAAGAAGGGGAAUAAACACUAGCACCAGAGGCGGAGCUAGGUGGAGUUCAUAAGUUCGAAUAAAUCUACUAGCUUUUUCGUAGAGUUUAUAGUUAUAUUAGAAAAUUAAAUAAUUAUAUAUGUAUAUUAACUUGUGAACUCGUAACAAAAUUAAUUGACAGUUUAAUAAUAAGGAAGGAUGGUAAAAAUAUUUUUCACACAUUUAUUGUGAGUUUGGACACUACUAUCAACAAAAAUUUCUCUAAUUCUAAAAUUUUGAACCUCCAAUUUCCUAUUUCUAACUACGUCUCUGCAUAGCUGGACGUUAACAUGUCAGUUUCAGUUGUAUUCUUGAGUUGCUUGGCAGUCAAAAUUAGACAAGUAUUUUUAAAUUUUUUUUAUUUUUAAAUUAGACGAGUAUUUAGAUAUAUCAAUUUGCAAGCUUUGUUUUACUUCCUAACAUAACAUACCUAAAAUUCAACAAUUCAUUAAAUAUGCUAACAUCGAUAACGUAUGAAAACAAAUCAAGCAUUCAAAAUUCGAUCACCAUAGAUUCGGGAGAUCACAUGGAAUUGAAGUACUUUACACAAUUUCAAGUUCAUGCAUUAUAAUUGAUAGAAUCAUGUUUUAGAAGAGGCGAAAAUAUAAGUAUUAAAAAACAUUGUAAAUGAAUAAAUCAUCAUAAUAAUAAGAUGGAUGUCUAUCAUCAUUUUUACUCACAUUAUAAAUAAUUGAUGUGAAAAAUUAGCAUGUCAUUCCAAAAGAGUGUUGUUCAAAAAUUUUAAAUCAUAGACUUCCAUUACAAUAUUCAAAUAAUGUUCUUAUCAUAUUAAUUAAAAUAGUACUGCAGAAAAGAAGAUCAAUAUAUCAGAUUUAAUUUUAAAAUAUAAAUUUUCAAAGACAGUAGUAGCUUAUCAGAAUCGCAAGAACCACAAUUCCAUGCUAAUUUUUAUGAUUUUGUUUUAUAUUUCUGAAUUGUUUUUAAGAUCUAAUUCUGUUGUUUGGAAUUUUAUCUAUUUUCAAAAUCAUCAUAUUCAUAUUUUAUUUUACUUAUAUAGAAGAGACAGUUUUCACUUUUCAACAUGUCUGUUUUUUGCCAAUUAAUUCUAAAAUAAGGGUAUUUUGGUCAUUUAUCCUAUCAAACUAAUGUGUAUUUAUGGGUUACAUUUGUGUCUUUCAUCUACUUUGGAGUAGACACGUAGUUUGGCUUUUAAGGAGUAAGAAAAAAAACUCACAAUUGAGGUGCAUUAAUGCAAAAGCGAAAAAAGAAGGCUAGAGAGAAUUGUUAGUGUCUAUCCAAAACCAUCUUUUUCCAGGGAAGAUGUCAAAGUUUUGCAUCAGUUGCAAUCCCAAACUUGUUGUAUUGUUUUUGUUUGAGGCCUGUGAAUUUUGUACAUAUGUUCACUUUAUGUAUAGUUUUGUUUAGUAAUAUGGCAAAAUCAGGUGAAAGGGUAUUUAGAACAUACCAAUAACCAAUGUGCUUAUCCACCUUUGAGCAAACAUCUCACUUACCAUUAGCCCGUAGGAAAAAAGAUGAAAUCCAAAUGCCACAUCCCAUCUCCACCAGUUUGGAAUGGAUCCUGUCAUAAGUCACUUCGAUCCAGAAUAUUUGAGGAAAAAGUUGAAGUUUGACUUGAUUUUCUCGGGGGCUAGCUAAACAUUCGACUCCAACUACCUACCGACUUAGACUUUUAAGUGCAACACUAUUUAUUUUGAUUUAAAAAAUUCACGAUGAGACCAGUUUGAUCCCCUGUCUGCAGUAAAACAUUGUACUCAAUACAUAAACAUAAAUUAGCAAUAUCUUUAUGAAACAAGCUAUGAACUUUUAUAAAGCUUGAUUGAUAGAUGAUAUAUAGCCGUAAAAGCUUGUGUUAUGCAGAUACGGUUCUUUUUCCAUGGAACGAAUAUGUGUAACUUUUUCUUUUUGUAAACCUCAACGUAAAUUGAAUUAUAAGAACAACUUCAUUCAUUAGCUUAAAAUAUUUAAGAUGACUUUUGGUUUAGCUCCGAAACAUAAAACUUGAAAGUUGCGAUUUCGAAAUUUGUUUUAGGAUCUACGAAAUAUCCUUGAAUAAUUUGGUGGAAUUACAGUCAUAACUUAGCCUAACUUAAUAGAAUGAAAGACGUGGCAUUCUAUAUGGUGUAAUCAAAGUAUGUGAUUCAUUAUAUAUAUUCCAAUGUAACAUUUAGUAUUAGUUCAUGUUAAAAACGAUAUCUAUUUAUAUUGUUGAUGAAUAUGGUGACCUCUUCUAACUUCAAUUCUUUGCAACUAGAACUAAUGACUAAACAACAUUCGUUGAUAUAUAUAUACUUUCUCAUUUGCAAUUAUUGAAUGCUAUCUGAUAUAACUUGAUUAUGGUUCUCUACACUUCACCACCAAGUCAGCUUGUGAACUCUUCUAACUUCAAUACAAUGCCAACUAAACUAAAAGGAUAUUUGUUCACUCCUCCUUUUCCGCCUCCUUGCAUAUAUGCAUGUCUAUCAUUUAUAAGUUUGGAGAAUAAUCACAUAAAGAUGUGUGCCUUUUUUUUUUGUCUCAAUUUUAUGGUUAAAGAAUCUCAACCUCGGCACACAUCAGAUUUGAUAUUUUAUGUAAAUGAGAUGUACAAAAUUAUCUUGUAAACUUGGCUUCUUAGUAAAUACUAUCAAACAAUUAAUAUGUGUUCUUCGGUUAUUAUUGUGAAUCACAUCAAUCUAGCUUAUCCUAUGCACUCAAAAACAAUCUUCGCAUUGGCACGGGCCAUAAUCCCCUAGUCUUAAAUAUAUUUGUUUACCUUAUUUAUUAGUUUUAACUUAUUCCAAAAUAUAAAUAACUACUAUAUCUUAUCUGAAUUUAUGACUUUCUAUAUUACUUUUUUUAAUCAUUUGUUAAAAUUGUAUAUUUGUGAUAAGAUUAACUUAUGUUUUAAUUAUUUGUUUAAAUUUGAAUAUGAUUUCCCUUUUGUAAAAUAUCUUCUUUCCAUAUUAUAGCUGUCCAUAUAGAGCUGUCAAUAUGGGCUGACCCACCCCAUUCGAGCUAACUCAUACAGACUUUGCAAUUUGACGGGUCAGGCCGGGUUAACUCUUUUUUUUUAUGUGGGCCAGAAAAUGAUCGGUCCUGCCCACAAGUGCGUGGGCUACGGGCUUUGCCGGGCCAACCCUUUUUUCUUAAAAGUAUAUUUUUUAUAAUUUUUUAAAUUGAAUUAUAAUUUUAAAAUAUUAUCAUAAAUAUCGACUAGUGUUACUACUUGUUAAUCAAAUACACAAAUAAAAUUAUUUAUAUAAUAUUUAUUAAGUUUGUUUUCAAGUAAAAACAUAAAUAGCUAAAUGGAAAUAUUAACCUAAUUAUUUUCCAAUGAUCAUAAUAAAACACAAAAACUAUGAUAAUAUUCCAUAAGGUAUGACCUAUGUAAUGAUUCCCUAGAAAUUUUAGAAACUUUAUUUUAUGUAGUACCUAUUUUAUAAACAUAAUUUGUAUUUAAAUUGUAACAUUUCAAACUUUAAACAGAUUUUGAGUGUAAACUCCUGUUAUUUUUAAUACUCUAUUUUAUUUUUAUUUUUUAAUUAAUUUUUAUUUGGCCCACAGCCCGGCUCUAUUCAUAUUUCUCAGGCCUCACAAAUCGACAGGCUUAUUUAGGUCAGGUUAAAAAGCCUUUUUCUUAAAUGGACUCCAAAAAUAGUAGUCCAACCCUAUCAAAUCACGAGUUAGAUCAGACCGACCCAACGGACCUAAUCCAUAUUGAUGGCUCUAAUAGCAGACAUAUGAAGUAUCUCCAUUUUAAAAUUUUGUCCUAAAGUGUCAAGCGAUUUAUUUGACUCUGACCAAAAUUAAAAGCGAUUUAUUUGACUAAAUUUCAAGUUUGACUAUCUCUUUCAAUAGGAAAAAGCUCAAAAUAGUUCAAUUUUCGGUUAAGACUCAAAGUUAUUUUUAAAUUUUUAUAUAUAAUAAUAAUAGACUCAAAGUCAUUAUUAAAUUUUUAUAUAUAAUAGUAAUAGUCCUUUAUAUUUGUAAAAUUUUAAUAUUAAUACAUUUUUUAUCCUCCCUCAAACUUUGGCCUAUUUUUAAACGUUCAUUUUAUCCAUAAUUUAUGUGUAGAAUGUUAAAUCUUUUUUAAAUAUAUUUAAUAGAAAUAAUACUCAAUGUGAGAGAAGGUGCGAAGAAAAUCUUGUUCUGUUUGAUAGAAAUAUUAUUGCAUCUAAACUAUGAACACUUUGACAUUUGACGUUGCAAGAAAAGAAAAAAAUAUACUAUUGCACGUGACAACACAAAUGAACCUCUCGAUUUUAACUGUAAAAGUAUUUCUACUAAAUAAAAUAAGAUAUUUCUUUUCUUACAUGAAAUUAUUAUUUCUACUAAAUAUAUAAAAAGAUAAUGAAAGAAUUCAUACAUAAAUUGUGGAUAAAAUUAAUGUUAAAAGAUAUGCAAAAAAUACAUCAAGUCACUAAUGCCAACACAAGGAACUAUUAUUAUUCCAAGUGAAAACUCAAAUAUGACUUUAAUUCUUAACCGAAGAUAAGAGACUAUUUUGAAUUUUUUCUCGUCUUUUAUUUGUUAUAAAUAGUAAUAAUAAUACUAUAGAAUAUUAUCACACAAUUAGCACCACACCAGCACUUUUCGGUGUCUGUCCACAAAAUUCCAUUUUCUAGCAAUUUCAGUGCUUUUCUUCAGUGAUAAUGGCGGAAGCAAACGUAGCUCAAGGCCAAAACCUCGGGAAUCGUGUAGCCAUUGUUACCGGCUCUUCUCGCGGAAUCGGCAAAGCAAUUGCUCUUCACUUGGCCUCUCUUGGAGCUAAACUCGUCAUCAACUACACUUCCAACUCUACUCAAGCCGACGACGUCGUAUCCCAGAUCAAUUCCACCUCCGAUUCCCCACGCGCAAUCGCCGUCAAAGCCAAUGUCUCCGAUCCAGAUCAAGUCAAAUCCCUCUUCGACGCUGCAGAAUCAGCCUUUCAAUCGCCGGUCAACAUCCUCGUCAAUUGCGCCGGUGUACUCGACGGAAACUACCC